rnacentral:rRNA from 1 species
AACGAACGCUGGCGGCAUGCCUAACACAUGCAAGUCGAACGAAACCUUCGGGUCUAGUGGCGCACGGGUGCGUAACGCGUGGGAACCUGCCCUUAGGUUCGGAAUAACUCCCCGCAAGGGGUGCUAAUACCGGGUAAUGUCUUCGGACCAAAGAUUUGUCGCCUUUGGAUGGGGCCGCGUUGGUUUAGCUAGUUGGUAGGGUAAAACCCUACCAAGGCGAUGAUGCAUAGCUGGGCUAAGAGGAUGGUCAGCCACGCUAAGAAUGAGCCACGCCCCAGACCCCGACGGGAGGCAGCAGUGGGCAAUAUAGGACAAUGGGCGAAACUCAGAUCCAGCAAUGACCCGUAAGUGAUGAAGGCAGUAGAGUUGUAAAGCUCUUUUACCCGGGAUGAUAAUGAUAGUACCAGGAGAAUAAGCUCCGGCUAACUCCGUG